rnacentral:lncRNA from 1 species
GGAGAGUUAGAAGUGCAAGGUUACUUUUGGCUGCAUAGUGAGUUCAAGGCCAGCCUGGGCUGUAUGAUUAUUUUAAGAACCAAACAGUAAAAACAAUUUUUAAAAAACACAAGGAUUACUGUCUGCCUGUCAAAGAUGCUGUUGAGCUGUGCCUUGGAGAAUGGGUGGGUGGAUCUGGAGUAAAGAUUUGUACUCUGAACAUAUGCAGAGAGCCUUGUGGUAGAUGUGUUUGGGUGGUGUUACACUGGAUCGUACCUCUGGUGCACCCCUAUCUGCUGGCCAGGAGUAUUGUUCGUGUCUGUAUUGGUCAGGAUUAUUUUAUUCCAAUGUCAUGGUGAGGUCCCUCUAACUCCCUUGGGGCUGGCACUGGUGCAGCACCAGCUAUGACACUGGAGACUGGCUCAUCAGAGUCCAGCAGAAAGGAGACAUUUAAAGGGAGAGGGUUGGAAGCCCUCCCCCAGGAGACUCCUUGAGAUGUUCCAACUCCCAGAAUAGUGAUGUGUUGUGACAGGCUGAGAUCAGACAACAGGAAUUACAGGUAAUUUUCUUAUUCCCUUGCCAUCCCGAAUAAAACUUAGCUCGUGAAUAGAAAGAAAGCCAUUGGGGAAAAUGGCAAACGUAAAUCAUUUCUAAAGGGUACAAAUGAACGGCUUUGCUAAUAGCAUAACUUUUAUGUUAGGAGCAAUAGUGGGUGGAGGAAAAAUAGUAAAAUAUACCCCUUCCAAAAUUGAUUUAGUUGUGGCCAGAAUCUUAUGGGAAUUUAGAAGUGAUGUAUACAGGGUAAGGAUUAUCCCUGGAGAUUCUAAGGUCUAAGAAGCAAAAUGGUGCCUAGCAUUCCCUGCCAGGACCCUACCUCCUCGGCACUUGGGGCAACCAGUGAAGCUCAAAGGCGAGUAAGAGGCUAAGUUGCUUGAAGCCUGAGGUUGGCAGUGAUGGGGCAUAUUUGUUCUUUGCAGCAACCCGUGUGUUUUCCCACCUUACACAAUGUGGAGCUGAGGUUAAAUAUGCCAAGUGACCACUUAUUGCCAAAUAGCGUUUAGUCUUUAAAUGGCCUUCUGACUGUCUAGGGUUCUUCCCAAUUCCUGCAGUCAUCACAGGCCCAGACCGCCACUUAUUCUCUUCACAACCAGGUGGAGAGUGGGGAGAGCCCCGAGUCGAUAUUCACUCACAGGUCAUCAUCGAGGAGAAGCUACGAAGAUGGGUAUUGGCCACUUCAUCUAUCCACGUGAGUUCCUUGAAGUCUACUCUGACAGGGAGGGGC